GCUUCUUUGGCGCAGUUGGCAGCGCGUAAGUCUCAUAAUCUUAAGGUCGCGAGUUCGAACCUCGCAGGAAGCA